AAUCAACGCUGGCGGCGUGCCUAACACAUGCAAGUCGAACGCGAAAGUCCCGCAAGGGGCAAGUAGAGUGGCAAACGGGUGAGUAACGCGUGGGCGACCUACCGUUGAGUGGGGGAUAACCUUCCGAAAGGAGGGCUAAUACCGCAUGACAUCCCGUGUUUGGAUACACGGACAUCAAAGCCGGGGAUCGCAAGACCUGGCGCUUGACGAGGGGCCUACGUCCGAUUAGCUAGUUGGUGGGGUAACGGCCUACCAAGGCUCCGAUCGGUA
rnacentral:rRNA from 1 species